UACGUAGGGGGCAAGCGUUGUCCGGAUUUAUUGGGCGUAAAGAGCGUGUAGGCGGCUUGGUAGGUCCGCUGUGAAAACUCGAGGCUCAACCUCGAGACGCCGGUGGAAACCAUCAGGCUAGAGUCCGGAAGAGGAGAGUGGAAUUCCUGGUGUAGCGGUGAAAUGCGCAGAUAUCAGGAAGAACACCCGUGGCUAAGGCGGCUCUCUAGUACGGUACUGACGCUGAGACGCGAAAAGCGUGGGGAGCGAACAGG
rnacentral:rRNA from 1 species